CCCGAGCGGCCAAAGGGAGCAGACUGUAAAUCUGCCGUCAUCGACUUCGAAGGUUCGAAUCCUUCCCCCACCA
rnacentral:tRNA from 1 species